rnacentral:rRNA from 1 species
ACUCCUACGGGAGGCAGCAGUAGGGAAUCUUCCACAAUGGGCGCAAGCCUGAUGGAGCAACACCGCGUGAGUGAAGAAGGGUUUCGGCUCGUAAAGCUCUGUUGUUAAAGAAGAACACGUGUGAGAGUAACUGUUCAUACGUUGACGGUAUUUAACCAGAAAGUCACGGCUAACUACGUGCCAGCAGCCGCGGUAAUACGUAGGUGGCAAGCGUUAUCCGGAUUUAUUGGGCGUAAAGAGAGUGCAGGCGGUUUUCUAAGUCUGAUGUGAAAGCCUUCGGCUUAACCGGAGAAGUGCAUCGGAAACUGGAUAACUUGAGUGCAGAAGAGGUAGUGGAACUCCAUGUGUAGCGGUGGAAUGCGUAGAUAUAUGGAAGAACACCAGUGGCGAAGGCGGCUACCUGGUCUGCAACUGACGCUGAGACUCGAAAGCAUGGGUAGCGAACAGGAUUAGAUACCCCUGGUAGGAAAGCG